GUGGACCAAGCGGGUCCGCGGUCCGCUAGGGUGAGCGUCAACGACCACAUGGAAGCCGGUGGAAUUCCGGCACAGUCGCGCUACUGUGACAUCGCCUCAGCCUUCGGGCCGGGUGGUGGAGUCAGACCCGCGUGGUCGUCCAACCCCAAC
rnacentral:sRNA from 15 species